rnacentral:rRNA from 1 species
AUGGCCCGGUCGACGUUUACCUCGGCUAGGCUCCUCGCGGAGCGGCGACAUCCUUCGGCCCGGCUGCUCCCAGCGCUGCACCCCGAGGCGGCCGUGGACCACGGCCCCGGCGUGGCGGAGGAUGCACUCCGGGCCUGCAUCUUUUUCGAUGAGGCGGCCAGGCGCGUAACGAACAACGGCGGCAGCGGCCAACGGCCGGUGCCCGGCAUGGCAACGCCCGGCAGCAAACACGGUGUCUCGCGGCUCCGCGGCGGCGGCCAUCGGCCGGCGUGCGGCAGCGCGGUCCUCAGCCCGGGCAGAGGCAGCCCACGAGGCACAAAACGCGGCGGCGCAACCAUCGGUCUGCCCGCACUGCACAGCGGCAGCAGUUACCAUGGCCAUGACGCUCGCAUGGGAUAA